GGUUCGAUCAUGGCUCAGAUUGAACGCUGGCGGGAUGCUUUACACAUGCAAGUCGAACGGCAGCACGGACUUCCGGUCUGGUGGCGAGUGGCGAACAGGUGAGUAAUGUAUCGGAACGUGCCUAGUAGCAGAGGAUAACUACGCGAAAGCGUAGCUAAUACCGCAUACGCCCUUCGAGGAAAGCGAGACCUUCGGGCCUCGCACUAUUAGAGCGGCCGAUAUCGGAUUAGCUAGUUGGUGAGGUAACGGCUCACCAAGGCGACGAUCCG
rnacentral:misc_RNA from 1 species